AGCGAACGCUGGCGGCAGGCCUAACACAUGCAAGUCGAGCGGCCGUAGCAAUACGGCAGCGGCAGACGGGAGAGUAACACGUGGGAACGCGCCCUUCGGUUCGGGAUAACUCAGGGAAACUUGGGCUAAUACCGGAUACGCCCUUACGGGGGAAGAUUUAUUGCCGCAGGAACGGCCCGCGUCCGAUUAGCUGGGUGGUGAGGUAACGGGGCACCAAGGCGACGAUCGGUAGCUGGUCUGAGAGGAUGACCAGCCUCACUGGGAGUGAGACACGGCGCAGACGACUACGGGAGGCAGCAGUGGGGAAUAUUGGACAAUGGGCGCAAGCCUGAUCCAGCCAUGCUGCGUGGGCGAUGAAGGCCCUAGGGUUGUAAAGCCCUUUCAGCGGGGAAGAUAAUGACGGUACCCGCAGAAGAAGCCCCGGCUAACUUCGUGCCAGCAGCCGCCGUAAUAC
rnacentral:rRNA from 1 species